UUUAAGAGGAAGUAAAAGUCGUAACAAGGUCUCCGUUGGUGAACCAGCGGAGGGAUCAUUAAGAGAGUUGAAAGACUCCCUAAACCCACUGCAAACCUACUUAUAUCGUUGCUUCGGCGGGCAGCCCCAGGGCGGGGCCCCUGGGCCUUUUACAGGUGCCUGCCGACGGCCCUCACACAAAUUCUUGUUAUUUUCAGGCACUCCGAGUAGCGAAGAUUUAAACAAGUCAAAACUUUCAACAACGGAUCUCUUGGCUCUGGCAUCGAUGAAGAACGCGGCGAAAUGCGAUAAGUAAUGUGAAUUGCAGAAUUCCAGUGAAUCAUCGAAUCUUUGAACGCACAUUGCGCCCGUUAGCAUUCUAACGGGCAUGCCUGUUCGAGCGUCAUUUCAACCCUCAGGCCUCCAGCUAGCCUGGCGUUGGGGGAUCUGCGGCUGAUCGCAGGCCCUGAAAGAUAGUGGCGGUGUCCGCUAGCACUCCGGACGCAGUAGAUUUCUUUCUCGUCCAGGACGUCUUGCGGGCUGCCGGCCGUAAAACAGCCCAAUAACUAGAAGGUUGACCUCGAAUCA
rnacentral:rRNA from 1 species